AUAAUCUAUCACCUUGUACUAUUUAGCCUACCUGUCUAGUUUUUCUUCACCAAAGCCUUACACUCCAAUUCAUGGGGUGGCAGCACCAACUCUGUUCUUCCAGUGUCCACAUAACUGUACAAACGAGGAAGAAAUUUCAUAACUAUUUUACGCAUUUCAUUAAGUCUUGUAGAAGUCAAUGAAUGCCAAUGAACAUGUAACCAAGAGAAUAGUCUAGCUAGCAGUUAUUUCGGAAUGGGAUUUCAAGUAUGAGGAUAGCUAUUCUUGGAGCCACUGGACAGACAGGGCAGUAUUUGGUGAAGCAGGCUAUCCAAAAAAGGGUACGGUGUCACCGGCUCACCGCCGUGGUGCGGAACCCGGAGAAAGUGGCUUCGUCAUGAGAAGCUAAAGGUUACUACAGCCUCCUUGCAGGAUGACAUGACAUCAUGCCAAGUCGUUGUCGGGCACUGCUGCCGUUUUUCAGCUCUUUCUGCUGAUGGCCAUACAGUGUGCUCAGCAACAUGUAUGAGAUGGAGCACUUUUUAAAGUGCGUCCAUAAUAUCAACUGGACAGUCGUGCGUCCUCCACGUCUACAGAAUGCACUGGCCACAGCAAAGGAGUUUCUUGACCGACGAGGGCUACUUUGUCCCAGACUGGGCACCCUAUUGGACGCCACGCUGUUGCCAGGGGCGAUGUUGCCCACUUCAUGCUGUCGAUGUUGGACACCAACUCCUGGAUACAGAGGAGUUGCUAUGACAACCAAGUAACUAUGUUAUUUAACUUAUGAUUGUGUGCUAUAUUAUGACAAAAAAUGGAUGUAACAAAUUAAAGAUUGAACACAUCUUUGAAUGGGGAGCAAUUGCAUUAGUUUGCAUUUAUAAAGAGGUCAUUAUAACCCAAACCAGGGUUCAACACGCACUGGCCCAGGGCAAGUAAAAGAGCACGUCAUGCAAGUUGGUUAGCCAGUCACUGCCCCGUUUGGAUCAGUGUAAAUUUUUCUGCCCAUCACCACCACAAGUCAUUUCAGUUAAUUUGUGAUGCUAACUGGUUGACGCUAAUGCUACUAACAAA